GACGAACGCUGGCGGCGUGCCUAACACAUGCAAGUCAACUUGAAGGAAGGAGCAAUCUGACCUGAUGGUGCGCAAGGGUGCGUAACGCGUAAGUAACUUGCCCAAGGUAAGGAAUAACGUCGAGAAAUCGGCGCUAAUACCUCAUAAUGCAGCGGAUCCGCAUGGAUAUGUUGUUAAAGGUUUACCGCCUUGGGAUAGGCUUGCGUCUGAUUAGCUAGUUGGUGUGGUAAUGGCACACCAAGGCUACGAUCAGUAACUGGUCUGAGAGGAUGAUCAGUCACACUGGAACUGAGACACGGUCCAGACUCCUACGGGAGGCAGCAGUGAGGAAUAUUGGGCAAUGCACGAAAGUGUGACCCAGCAACGCCGCGUGGAGGAUGAAGGUAUUCUAUAUCGUAAACUCCUGUGAGAGCAGACGAAAGACAGAUUAUAAUUUGGAUGACUGUAUGCUCAGAGGAAGCCCCGGCUAACUACGU
rnacentral:rRNA from 1 species